rnacentral:rRNA from 1 species
AUUACCGAGUGAGGGCCCUCUGGGUCCAACCUCCCACCCGUGUUUAACGAACCUUGUUGCUUCGGCGGGCCCGCCUCACGGCCGCCGGGGGGCAUCCGCCCCCGGGCCCGCGCCCGCCGAAGACACCUGUGAACACUGUCUGAAGUUGCAGUCUGAGAAACUAGCUAAAUUAGUUAAAACUUUCAACAACGGAUCUCUUGGUUCCGGCAUCGAUGAAGAACGCAGCGAAAUGCGAUAAAUAAUGUGAAUUGCAGAAUUCAGUGAAUCAUCGAGUCUUUGAACGCACAUUGCGCCCUCUGGUAUUCCGGAGGGCAUGCCUGUCCGAGCGUCAUUGCUGCCCUCAAGCACGGCUUGUGUGUUGGGCCCCCGUCCCCCCGCCAGGGGGGACGGGCCCGAAAGGCAGCGGCGGCACCGCGUCCGGUCCUCGAGCGUAUGGGGCUCUGUCACCCGCUCUUGUAGGCCCGGCCGGCGCCAGCCGACCCCCCUCAAUCUAUUUUUUCAGGUUGACCUCGGAUCAGGUAGGGAUACCCGCUGAACUUAAGCAUAUCAAUAAGCGGAGGAAAAGAAACCAACCGGGAUUGCCCUAGUAACGGCGAGUGAAGCGGCAAGAGCUCAAAUUUGAAAGCUGGCCCCCUCGGGGUCCGCAUUGUAAUUUGCAGAGGAUGCUUCGGGAGCGGUCCCCAUCUAAGUGCCCUGGAACGGGCCGUCAUAGAGGGUGAGAAUCCCGUAUGGGGAUGGGGUGCCCGCGCCCGUG